rnacentral:rRNA from 1 species
AACAUGUCUUUUUGUUUAUAUUUAAAGUCUAACCUGCCCUCUGUAGUAUAAAUGGCCGCAGUAUUUUGACUGUGCUAAGGUAGCAUAAUCAUUAGUUUUUUAAUUGAAAGCUGGAAUGAAAGGUGAAUAAAAAAAUAUCUUUAUUUUAUUAAAAUAAUUAAAAUUUUAUUUUUAAGUUAAAAAGCUUAAAUUUUUAUUAAAGACGAGAAGACCCUAUAGAGUUUCAUAUAUUAUUUUUUAUUUUAUUUUAGUAUUUAAAUUGAUUAAUUUUUUAAUAUAUUAAAUUGGGGUGAUUUAAAAAUUUAUAUAACUUUUUUUAUAUUAUUAUAUUUUUUAUAAAUUUAUGAUCCUAGUUUUUAGAUUAUAAGAAUAAAUUACCUUAGGGAUAACAGCGUAAUUUUAUUAGAGAGUUCAAAUUGAAAAUAAAGAUUGCGACCUCGAUGUUGGAUUAAAAUUUAUUUUUGGUGUAGAAGCUAAAUAAUUAA